GGCAAGGUGGCCGAGCGGUCUAAGGCGCCACGUUAAGGUCCACAACCCUUAAUCAUCUUCUCCCAGAGAAUCCGUGGUCUCGAAAGGGGCGUGAGUUCGAAUCUCACCCUUGUCA